rnacentral:rRNA from 1 species
AGAGUUUGAUCCUGGCUCAGGACGAACGCUGGCGGCGUGCCUAAUACAUGCAAGUCGAGCGGUCCCCUUCGGGGAUAGCGGCGGACGGGUGAGUAACACGUAGGUAACCUGCCUGUAAGACCGGGAUAACUAUCGGAAACGAUAGCUAAGACCGGAUAGCUGGUUUCUCCGCAUGGAGGAAUCAUGAAACACGGAGCAAU